CGGCCGUAUCUAGUCACAUUUUACCACCGAAAAAGAAAAGUUUGAAAAAUAAAACUAGGCACGAAAAUGAAUUUGAGUCUGAAGAAAAUGCGGAGAGCUGCAUUCGUUGUCUCAAAUAUGAUAAUCUAAGCGCACAAGAGUUUGACAGUGUGUGGAAAGCGUGUUCCCAAUUUUGAAUAAACCAAAUUAAAGAGGAGACAUCAACGAUAACAUCUAUUAUAGAAGUAUGGCCGUAUUAUAGAACCCCAUCGGGAUAUCGUUUGAUUGAUAUUGAUUUUGGACUAAGUUUCAACAAUAGAAAUGGACUUAUUUUACAUUGGGAAUAUUACUGGAGUUCCAUACUCAAUUUUUUAAAUUCUGACAACAAUGUGAAAGACAAAAAAGUAAAGGCUUUGCUGGAA